rnacentral:rRNA from 1 species
GACGUAGGGCGCGAGCGUUGUCCGGAUUUAUUGGGCGUAAAGAGCUCGUAGGCGGCUCGUUGCGUCGGCUGUGAAAACCCGCAGCUCAACUGUGGGCUUGCAGCCGAUACGGGCGGGCUGGGAUUCGGUAGGGGAGACUGGAAUUCCUGGUGUAGCGGUGAAAUGCGCAGAUAUCAGGAGGAACACCGGAGUGGCGAAGGCAGGGUCUCUGGGCCAUUAACUGACGCUGAGGAGCGAAAGCAUGGGGAGCGAACAGG